rnacentral:rRNA from 1 species
UGAAGCGGGAAAAGCUCAAAUUUAAAAUCUGGUGGUCUUUGGCCAUCCGAGUUGUAAUCUAGAGAAGUGUUACCCGCGUCGGACCGUGUACAAGUCUCCUGGAAUGGAGCGUCAUAGAGGGUGAGAAUCCCGUCUUUGACACGGACUACCGAGGCUUUGUGGUGCGCUCUCAAAGAGUCGAGUUGUUUGGGAAUGCAGCUCAAAAUGGGUGGUAAAUUCCAUCUAAAGCUAAAUAUUGGCGAGAGACCGAUAGCGAACAAGUACCGUGAGGGAAAGAUGAAAAGAACUUUGGAAAGAGAGUUAAACAGUACGUGAAAUUGCUGAAAGGGAAACGCUUGAAGUCAGUCGCGUUGGCCGGAAAUCAGCCUUGGUUCUCCAUGGUGUAUUUUCUGGUUGACGGGCCAGCAUCAGUUUUGACCGGUGGAAAAAGUUGGAGGGAAUGUGGCAUCUUCGGAUGUGUUAUAGCCCUUCUUCGUAUACAUCGGUUGGGACUGAGGAACUCAGCACGCCGCAAGGCCGGGAUUCGUCCACGUUCGUGCUUAGGAUGCUGGCAUAAUGGCUUUAAUCGACCCGUCUUGAAACACGGACCAAGGAGUCUAACAUGCCUGCGAGUGUUUGGGUGGAAAACCCGGACGCGUAAUGAAAGUGAAAGUCGAGAUCCUUGUCAUGGGGAGCAUCGACGCCCGGACCAGAAGUUUACGGACGGUUCUGCGGUAGAGCAUGUAUGUUGGGACCCGAAAGAUGGUGAACUAUGCCUGAAUAGGGUGAAGCCAGAGGAAACUCUGGUGGAGGCUCGUAGCGAUUCUGACGUGCAAAUCGAUCGUCAAAUUUGGG